GUGGAUUAGAUACCCUGGUAGUCCACGCCCUAAACGAUGUCAACUAGGUGUUGGGUGGGUAAAACCAUUUAGUACCGUAGCUAACGCGUGAAGUUGACCGCCUGGGGAGUACGGCCGCAAGGUUAAAACUCAAAGGAAUUGACGGGGACCCGCACAAGCGGUGGAUGAUGUGGAUUAAUUCGAUGCAACGCGAAAAACCUUACCUACCCUUGACAUGUCAGAAACUUGGCAGAGAUGCCUUGGUGCCCGAAAGGGAAUCUGAACACAGGUGCUGCAUGGCCGUCGUCAACU
rnacentral:rRNA from 1 species